rnacentral:tRNA from 16 species
GUGGUCAAAGCACUGGUCUCAUAAGCCAACUGUCGGCGGUUCAAAUCCUGCAGUC